UACGAAGGGUGCAAGCGUUACUCGGAAUUACUGGGCGUAAAGCGUGCGUAGGUGGUUCGUUAAGUCUGAUGUGAAAGCCCUGGGCUCAACCUGGGAAUGGCAUUGGGAACUGGCGACCUAGAGUGCGGUAGAGGGUAGUGGAAUUCCCGGUGUAGCAGUGAAAUGCGUAGAGAUCGGGAGGAACAUCCGUGGCGAAGGCGACUACCUGGACCAGCACUGACACUGAGGCACGAAAGCGUGGGGAGCAAACAGG
rnacentral:rRNA from 1 species